UUGACCUCAAAUCAGGUAGGAUUACCCGCUGAACUUAAGCAUAUCAAUAAGCGGAGGAAAAGAAACUAACAAGGAUUCCCCUAGUAACUGCGAGUGAAGCGGGAAGAGCUCAAAUUUAAAAU
rnacentral:rRNA from 1 species